UUUUUUUUAGUAGUACUGCUGAAAUCACGCCAAAGAUUCCCUCGCAAGGAUGUCUGCUUCCGUGACUGAUAAUCGUCACGUUUGAGAAGAUAUAUUUGGCCUUAUUUGAGUUUAUAAGUUCAACUCUAUGUCACGUAGUCGACGUUUUGAUUUUGUGAUCUUUGAAUUAUUGUAAGUCUUAAGCUUUCUUGACCUUCUUUGUUACCGGUGUAGGAAAAUUAACUUACAUUUGUUUUUACUCUGCUGCAACAGUCAGCAAUUUUUGCUGCGCUGCUUUUAACCCGAUUCUUUGUCGGAUUAACAAUGAGAUGCCAUAUAAACGGCCAUGUUAGGUCUCUCGCUAAUGGACGUGUACAAAUUGGUGUUGACCCCUACGGCAGCGGGUCAUUCAUAAAACAUGUCAACAGAACUCGAAGAACUGUUUAUCGAGGCAUCCCUAUAAUUGUCGUUUGGAAGAUGAUUUCGUCAUAAGCUAUCACUUAUUCAUGAUUUCAGCUGUACGAUGGUUUCGGCGUUAUUUCUGCCAAUUACGUCGUUGUUGAUGCCGGAGCGAAGUUCACCGAAAUCGUUUUUAACCAAAAUAAUGAGUGCUUCCUUUGCUCAGUCGUCCGUGAAAGACAUUCAACGAUUCUUUCAAGGUUCUUGAUUUCAAGGAUUACAUGUGCAGCUGCCUAAACAGAGCCCUAGAUCACUAAACGGCAGUGCGACAUCUCUGUCUUCUUUGGACGCAAACGCUGGGUCACACUCUCCUUCUUCUCCUCGUAACAGCAAAGCAUUUGGUAUUCACAGAUUAUUUGGUAGAAGCAAAGAGAAUCAUGGUACACAUAGUGGAAAAGAGGAUUCUGAAACUGAGGAUAGUGCUUUGAAGUUAAAAUUAAACGUGCCAACAGCGGGACAUAAACAAUUCUCUAAAGUCCUGGCUGAGAUCAGAGAAAGAGCAAUGCCAUCUUCGUAAGUUGUAUUUUGUUAAUAUUGUAAUGAUCGGUUGAUGCCUUUUAUUUGGUGCAUGCACUCUUUGUACAUUAACAGGGCUGUCAUUAAGUUUUGAAGCAGCCGUUGCAUGUAAGUUAUCACCCGUAGCAGUCAAAUAAAUGGCCCACGGCCACGUUCUGAAGGCCCGAAAGGGCCUGAGCAUCUAGGGGGGUCUGGGGGCAUGCCCCCACCCCCCUCCCCAGCAAUUUUUUGAGCAUGAAACCCCUGGAAAUGCAUUUUCCUGCUUUCUAGGGCAUGAAAAUGGCAAUUUUUCUAAUCAA
rnacentral:misc_RNA from 1 species